UUGUGCCAUUGCACUCCAGACUGGGCGACAGUGAGAGACUCUGUCUCACAAAAACAAAAACAAAAACAACAACAACAACAACAAAACCUUUAAAAGAAGUUAUUACCUUAAGAAGAGAGAGGGGAUUGGGUAAAUGAUAACACAGAAAUGUAAUCAUAAAACUCUAGACUGCCCACGCCCCCGGCCCGCCCAGCCUGCAGCAGCAGCAACAGCAGCAGCGGGCAGCCGCACAGGCGUUUAUGUCGGGUCUCCGGGUCUCCCAGCAGCAUCCGAACUACCUGAUCAGCGGCAGCACCAGCUGUGUGCCCAAGGAUGGGCUCACUGUGCAGCAGCUCUUUGCCAGCACCAACGGCCUCACCUACAAGGACUUCCUGAUUCUCCCAGGAUUCACAGACUUUAUAGCUGAUGAAGUGGACCUGACCUCAGCCCUGACCCGGAAGGUCACGCUGAAGACGCAGCUGAUCUCCUCCCCCAUGGACAUUGUGACAGAGGCUGACAUGGCCAUCACAAUGUCUCUGAUGGGAGGUAUUGGUUUCAUUCACCACAAGUGCACCCCAGAGUUUCAGGCCAAGGAGGUGCAGAAGAUCAAGAAGUUUGAACAGGCAGGCCAUGGUGCUGAGCCCCUCGCACACUGUGGGUGAUGUGCUGGAGGCCAAGAUGUCGCAUGGCUUCUCCGGCAUCAUCACUGAGAUGGGCACCAUGGGCAGCAAAUUGGUGGGCAUCGUCACUUCCCGAGACAUUGACUUUCUUGCUGAGAAGGACCACACCACCCUCCUCAGUAAGGUGAUGACACCAAGGAUUGAGCUGCUGGUGGCUCCAGCAGGCGUGACAUUGAAAGAGGCAAAAGAGAUACUGAAAUGUAGCAAGAAAGGGAAGCUGCGUAUUGUCAAUGAUUGAGAUGAGCUGGUGUUCAUCAUCGCCUGCACUGACCUGAAGUAGAACUGAGACUACUUUCUGGCCUCCAAAGAUUCCCCCAAGCAGCUGCUGUGCGGGGCAACUGUGGGCACCCGUGAUGAUGACAAACACCACCUGGACCUGCUCACCCAGGUAUCCCCACCUCCAGGUGAGUGGGGGGAACGUGGUGACAGCAGCCCAGGCCAAGAACUGAUGCUGGUGUGGACGGGCUGCAUGUGGGCAUGGGCUGCGGCUCCAUCUACAUCACCCAGGAAGUGAUGGCCUGUGGUUGGCCCCAGGGCACUGCUGUGUACAAGGUGGUCGAGUAUGCCCAGCACUUUGGUGUGCCCAUCAGAGCCAAUGAUGGCAUCCAGACCAUGGGGCCUGCGGUCAAGGCCCUGGCCCUUGGAGCCUCCAUAGUGAUGAUGGGCUCCCUGCUGGCCGCCACCACAGAGGCCCCUGGCAUGUGCUGCUUCUCAGAUGGGGUGCGGCUCAAGAAGUACUGUGGCAUGGGCUCACUGGAUGCCAUGGGGAAGAGCAGCAGCAGCCAGAAACGAUACUUCAGUGAGGGGGAUAAGAUGAAGAUCAUGCAGGGUGUCUCAGACUCCAUCCAGGACAAAGGGUCCAUUCAGCAGUUUGUGCCCUACCUCAUAGCGGGCAUCCAGCAUGGCUGCCAGGAUAGCGGAGCCCACAGCCUGUCUGCCCUUCGGUCCAUGAUGUACUCAGGAGAGCUCAAGUUUGAGAAGUGGACCAUGUGGGCCCAGAUCGAGGGUGGCAUCCACGGCCUGUAGUCUUACGAGAAGCGACUGUACUGAGGACAGCGGUGGAGGCCGAGGUGAUGGAGGGGGCGCACCCCAGUGUCCACCUUCAGGCACAACCUCCCUCCAUAACUGAGUGGUCCACAGGUUUGCCCUACAGGUUCCCCAGCUGCUUUCCAGGGAGAGAGGAGGGGAAGUCCUGAGGGGUCUGCGGCCCCUUGCUCAGUAUCCCCUACAGAGUCAGGACUUUUCCCUGGGCUGGGCUGCCCUGGGAGCCCCCUGAGCCCAGCCAGCCGGGGUCUUAGGCCCUGUGCCUGCCUCAGGUCUUUCAGCCUGCUCCAGCCCGGCCCCCACCCCAGGGGCAGGCAGCCCCUCCUGGCUUUUUCUGUAGAGCACCUCCCGGCCCCCAUGCCCCCAGGAAAUGGUGCUCUCCUGGCCCUACCUCUGGCCCUUCCCGGGCCGCUGCUCCCUCAGCCAUGUGGCACUUCUGAGCUCUUGACCUAGGCCAAGGGGAGGUCUCUGCCCCUUCCCCGGCCCUGGGCUACCCUUGGGUCCUGCUCCUCAGGUAGUUCCCCUGUCCCUGGCCCUGGGGAGGAGGCUGCCCUGGUCAUGGCCGCCUGCCUGUCAUUCCUGACUCACCACCGUCCCCAGGUGUACCAUUUCUGCCUUCUCCUCAGCUGCAGUUGAAGGCUUUAACUUUGCACACUUUGGGAUCACAGUUGCAUCAUUGUGUAUUAAAUAAUCGGAAUAAAUCAAGCAUGUCUCAACGCCUCCACCAAAAACAAAACAAAAACCAAAACAAAAACUCUAGACUGUGGGAAACUAUAGCACAAAUAACCUAGUUUCUUCUACAAGUAAAAUUUAAAGAAAACAAAAAGGGAUGGAAUGGGAACCUUGUGAUUAAAAAAAGGAACUUAAGGGGCAUUCCAACCAACUGCAAUUUAUGAACCAAUUUGUAUUCCAAUUUGAAUAAAUAAACUGAAAAAGUUUAUGAGAUGGUGGGGAAAUUUAAACACUGGUUGGAUAUACAGUGCUACUAAGGAAUUAUUAUUUAGGUAUGAUAAUGAUAGUAUGGUUAUUUUUUUAAAAGAAGGUUUAUGUAUUAGAUACACACUGAGGUUUUUAUGGAUGAAAUGAUAUUACACCAGGACCUGAAGAAGAACCGAGACUACUUUCUGGCCUCCAAAGAUUCCCCCAAGCAGCUGCUGUGCGGGGCAGUUAUGGAUAAAACAGGAUUGGCCAUGAGUUGGUAAUUAAUUAAUCUGGAUGACUGGUUCAUAAAAGUUCAUUCUAUUGUCUUCUUUACUUUUGUAUAUAGAGUCGUCUCCUAGUAUCCAUGGGGGAGUGGUUCUAGGACCUCCUGCUAAUACCAUAAUUUGUGGACGCUCAAGUCCCUUGUAUAAAAUAGUAUUAUUUAACCUAUGCACAUCCUCUGGUAUACUCGAUUAUCUCUAAAUUACUUAUAAUACCUAAAACAAUGUCAAUGCUAUAUAAGUAGUUGUUAUACUGCAUUGUUUUUUAAUUUGUAUUAUUUUUGUUGUUGUAUUAUUUUUAUUGUUUUUUGAAUAUUUUAAAAAGUUUCCGUUUCCUUUUUGUUUUGAUUAUUUUAAUUGACACAUAAGAAUCACACAUAUUUACGGGAUAUGGUGUGAUAUUUUGAUACAUGUAUAGAAUGUAUAAUGAUCAAAUCAGGAUAAUUAGCAUAUCCAUCACCUCAAACAUUUGUUAUUUCUUUGUAUUAGGAUCAAAUAUUUUCCGUUCAUGGUUGGUGGAAUCUACACAAGGGCAGAACCCAUGGAUACAGAGAGCCGACUGUAUGUGAAAUUUUUCAAAACGAAAAGUUAAAGUGAAAAGGAAGCCUCUGAGACCCAGCAUUUUAAGGGCACUGAAUUCAUUUUCUUCGUAAUACCACACCUUAGGUCUAUUACUCCAAGUAAACCCCGUCUAUACAAAAUGGAAGUUAUAUCUGUAAAACCAUGAUGAGUAUUUAGAACUGUCUGUGAUUGACAUCAUGUCAGUGAUUUUGAAGUUAUAAUGAGUUCUCAACCAGGUGUUUUUGUUAUUUUGCUUUGUUUUGGGUUUUUAAAAAAAAUUUCCAGUAUCACUUUUGUCUCUUAGUGAAAGUUUUAAUUAACAUGAAUAGUCUUUUUCUCCUCUUCCAAACAUGUAUCAUCAUCAUUCACUCAAUUAACAUAUUAUUCUUAUUUAUUUAUUUAUUUAUUUAUUUGAGACAGGGUCUCAUUCUGUCACCCAGGUUGGAGUGC